UGCCCCAAGUUAGAAAGAGAACGAACACGAGAUACAGAGAUGGGGCGUCGGGUCGCCGGCGGCGGACCUCACCGUGUGCUGCCUUAUGACCUCGUCGUGUUCCGAAAUCCAGCAGAUAGCACGCCCCAUCCCCGGGCCGCCGUUCUCCACCUCGGCUCCAACACCUCACCACACCCGCCGCCUACCUCCGCCAUCCAUCGACGGCUAGAUCCGCCAUCCGUGGAUGCCUAGCUCCGCUAUUCACCGAGACCGGAGAAGGGAACUCCAGCCUUCAGGUAUCCUUUUGGAUGUUACAACCUUGUAAUUUAUUGUGUAUUUUUUCUUCUAAUCCAUCAUCCCCUAUGUGUUGGAUGUUUUAGAUGUAGAUAAUCCUAUCUGAUUAAACUAGGAUGAUAUCUCUCUGUAUCAGGGCGUAGGAAAAAUAAUUACUGAAAUAACUUGCUCUAUUUUGCUUAGACUUCUAAUUUGAGCAAAUUAGGUAGAGAAAAAUGUCAUCAACCUGUGGCCUGAGAUGAGUUCAAAGUAAUUUUAUCUACUUGUUCUAGUGCAUGAAUAUGAAGUGCUUGUUGGCACAAGACUGAGAUUCAUUAACACUUGCAAUAUGUGCCUCACUCAUUUCUAAGAGUCCCCGUAUGUUUGUUUGGUAUUUUCAUCGAAAUCAAUGCGAUUGUAGUUUUGGUUUAGUGAAUUAAAUUUAUUAGCUCUUUGGUCUUCCUCAUUCAGGUGUAAUAAUAGAUCCUCAUAUUGUUCUACAAGUAGAUUACUCUGGAUUUUGAACAAUGUUAAGUAGAAAGUGUACUUACAGUGUCUAACCGAACUUCGUGAAACCAUUACAAGUUCAUCUUCCAAGAGCUUCUUUUGGGAUCUAGAUCCGUAUUGUGUACUAUUUAGGUUAGGUGAUAGACCAGAGCUUUGUUUCACUUCUCAACAGAGUUUCCGUUAUACGGUCCACUUGAACCCACCGGGGGGGUGUUACUGCAUCCAUAUCCGAGAAGUAGGCAAGGUCGUUGUGUAAGCCAUGAGUGUAUGCGACUGGACACAGAGGUGAUCUAUUUAGUUUCAACAGAACGCAGUGUACUUAAAAAAUAUGUUGUGUUUUAAUUUAAAUAGGCUUAGCACUGCAUACCACUUCUGAACACCUUGGUCUUGAUGUGUGCAUGAAUUUGUAUAGCUGACGCAGUCUAUUUAAUGUACCAUAUGGUUGCAUUCUGUUUUCAGAAAUUCAGUUAUGUUUUACCUACAAUAGGCUCAACAUUGCAGAACACUUGAUUCUGAACACCCUUGUCUUGAUGUGUAUAUGACUUGGUAAUAGUUGAUGUAGUCUAUGUCAUGUACUAUAUAAGUUUGCUCUGUAUUUUAAACAAAUUAGUUGUGUUUUACUUCCAGUAUGCUCAACAUCACGGAACACUUGAACCUGAAUGUCCCGGUCUCUAUGUGUACAUGAAUUGGUAUGUUGAUGCAGUCUAAGUAUAUUUCUGUACUUUCUACUAGACUCCAGCAGUGAUGGUUCGGAUGAAGAUUUCAGGAACUUCCUUGGCGACGGUGACAAUGCCUACUCAAGAGGACGAAGCGACACCCAGGCACCAUAUUUUGGUUCCCAAUAACGAAUGUUUAUAGCAGCAAUGAUAUGUAUGAAGAUUAUCUCCAUACAUAUUUUCAGGCCGCACAAGUCUUAGGCUCUAGUUAUUUCAGGCCGCACUUGCCAAAAAAUAAAAUAGUAUGCAGCAUUUUUGGUAGUUCAGAUGGGUGGUUGUUGUACAGUUCAUGUGCAUACUUGCGAUGCUCCAAUGUAAAAUAGUAUGCAUGUUCUUGCAUGGAAGCAUCUAAAGAAAUGUGUUCAGAGAUCUUUGGUUCAUUAAAGUACAGAACAUCAUCACAGUAGUUAUUUAUAAAGUUGUUUCUCUCAUACUUAAUACUCCUAUUAUAGAGUUAAUAACUGUUGAGC
rnacentral:lncRNA from 1 species